UACAGAGGUACCAAGCGUUGUUCGGAUUCACUGGGCGUAAAGGGUGCGUAGGUGGUUUGGUAAGUCUGAUGUGAAAUCUUCGAGCUCAACUCGGAAACUGCAUUGGAUACUAUCGAGCUAGAGGAUUGGAGGGGGGACUGGAAUUCUUGGUGUAGCAGUGAAAUGCGUAGAUAUCAAGAGGAACACCAGUGGCGAAGGCGAGUCCCUGGACAACUCCUGACACUGAGGCACGAAAGCUAGGGGAGCAAACAGG
rnacentral:rRNA from 1 species